UAAGGAAUAUUGGCCAAUGGACGCAAGUCUGAACCAGCCAUGCCGCGUGAAGGAUGAAGGUCCUCUGGAUUGUAAACUUCUUUUAUCUGGGACGAAAACGGGAUUUUUAUCUCAAUUGACGGUACCAGAGGAAUAAGCACCGGCUAACUCCGUGCCAGCAGCCGCGGUAAUACGGAGGGUGCGAGCGUUAUCCGGAUUUACUGGGCUUAAAGGGUGCGUAGGUGGGCUUAUAAGUCAGUGGUGAAAUCUCCGAGCUUAACUUGGAAACUGCCGUUGAUACUAUAGGUCUUGAAUUAUCUGGAGGUAAGCGGAAUAUGUCAUGUAGCGGUGAAAUGCUUAGAUAUGACAUAGAACACCAAUUGCGAAGGCAGCUUACUACAUAUAAAUUGACGCUGAGGCACGAAAGCGUGGGGAUCAAACA
rnacentral:rRNA from 1 species